rnacentral:sRNA from 1 species
CUAUAACAAGGGAACUUCGAUAUUUGGAGUGAAAAAAAAAAAAAAAAAAAACGAAAAGCCAACACUCUUUUGUAUCUUCAGCCAGCCAGUUACAGUUCUACUUUCAGGAAUUGCUUUUUCCUUUUGCUUCUUUCUCACCGAAAGCACAAAAAUCCCCUUCGCCUUAUCGAAUGCCGAAUCCUACUACCAAUGGCCAGGGUGCAGUACAUGUGGAUUCUGCAAGCAUCAAGCCAGGGAUCAAUAAACAGCUGCAUACACUGCGUACUCCAUACUGCAUACUGUGAGGCACAGCAUGGGUGCUGUGAUUGGCGACGAGCCUGGCCGAUAUGUCAGGGGUAGGCUUAAGUUCGGCUGUUUGUUAUUGAGAUAUAUAAAUUAUUGUUCCCAUUCGCAGCCAGCUUUACAGGAGUCUCUUUUCACAUCCAUCCCCUGGUGCCCGGAGUUAGUUACAUUCAGAUAUGCCCUCCAAAGUAGACCGCUUGCGACUUCAGAUCUUGUCCGAGCAGAUAUUGAUUACGAUUAGGUGGGAGAUGCGCCGGGAAUGCGAUUGAUGUAUGAAGUAAUAGGAGUGAGAGAUAGAGAGGAAGAAGACAAGCAUGACCAUCGAUCUCAAUUGUGAAGAGCAAAAUAAUAUAAGGGAAUAAUAUCAUUCUAGCCGGGCAAGCAGAAUUGCCAAUCUCCAGCUUCAUCAUGUUUUUCAUUGUAACUAACCUCUUUGUUUAAGCAAAGACGCAAGCUUAGACAAUCACGCCGUAAUAAAUAACGACUCGAUGGUAAUAAUAUACCUAUAUACACAUGCAUGAUCGGCCCACUAGAACACCCCUCACCCAAGCCGAACCCCAGCCUGCCGAUUCCUCCUCGCCGUUGCCCCCAUCGCAUUAUUCAUUCCCGUAUGCUGGCUACUAUCCAACGUACUCAUCGCCUCCCGUUUCUUCUCCUCCUCAAUCUUCUUCAGGUGCUUUUCCGUUUUCAUCUUCCCGCUGCCCUUGCCAUGGAACUGGUGCGACAGGUGCUUAAACGCCUCUUUCUGGUCCAUUAGCCGACCAAAAUCAUCCACAUACUUCAGCUGUACGUCCGGCUUGUACUCGCGGUUGAAGAUCUCGGCCAUCUGGCGCGACUCUAGCUGGUCUCGCUGCUUGUUUUCCUGCCGUGCGUACUCCUCCCGGUCCCGAGCGGUCAUGCGGUCCAACUUGCCCGAGGCACGGUCGCGUUCUCGCUGGAGUCGAGCGCGUCGCUCUGCUUCCGCUUCGCGCCGUUGCUUCUCUUGUAGGAAUCGUUGGCGCUCACGGUGGAGGGUGUUCAGCUCGCCCGCAUUUGAUUCCUUUACCAGUCCACGUUGCUUAAGCAUGGCGAGUGUAGCACCGAGACCCUUGUCAAGUGUCGAUUCCUCUUCUAAUCCAGUAGCAGUAAUAUCAGCAGCUGGCGUGGUAUCGCUUCUCUUCAAGCGUUCUUGGAGAUCCUCUUCAUCUUCAAUAUCAUUAUACGACCGCUCCAUAUCCAUAUCCACAUCUUCGUGCCUUUCAUCUUUCACUUCAGGAGAUGCUUCUUUCGGCCGUGAGACUGAGCGCUGGCGACGAUCAGGGAGUGUGGGGCGCUGCAGGUUUGCGACAAAUUCAGAUGUCUCAUCGAUAACCAGACCAGGACCGUCAUCCUCACCAUUUGCAUUGUCCAAAUCCAUCCCAUUCUGCGCUUGCUCUGACUCUUCUCGCAAUUGUCUUGCGAUAUCCUCUGGGCGAACCUUCUUCCUUUUCUUGAAUGCAGUUCGUCUCUGCGCCGCAAGCGAUGCUUGUAAAUCCUCAUCGUCAACGAAAGAUAUGUCCCUAUCUGAUUGUCUCGGGGUGCGGGUCGAAAGUCCAUUACUGGGAGAUACUGAAUCCACUUUCAUAUUAUCUCCAUUCGAUUGCACACCAGUACCACCAUUCGGAAUAUCUGUAGUUUCUAUAGUUGGGAAGAUAUCAUCCUCAUCCACCGCUUUUCGCCUCGUAGAUUUUGUCUUCUUCUUUUUUGGUUUCUUGAUUUUAAUGUCUGUCGCUUCCUGGUAGUCUGAUGGCGUCGCUGUAGUUUCGGGCAUGAUAUCGAGGUUAACAGGUUGCGCCUUUAACUUCGACGACACAUCCUGCCGCUUGGCCAUCCGCUCUUCCUCAUUUAUAACUUUAGCAUCCAAUGUAAACCGUUUCCUCUUCUUCCCCUCGAUCUCCUCGUCAUAUUGCGCCAGAAUAGAACCGGAACCAGAUCCAUCGAAAUCAUUAGGAUCAU